GGCUAACGCUGGCGGCGUGUCUUAGCCAUGCAAGUCGAGCGGACUUAUGGGGGUAACUUAUAAGUCAGCGGCGGACGGCGGAGUAACACGUAGCUAACCUACCCUCUGGACGGGGAUAACCUACCGAAAGGUGGGCUAAUACCCGAUGUAGUCAUCCUGUAUAGGGGUGAUGAAAGGUGGGCUUCUGUUUACAAGCUCAUGCUGGAGGAGGGGGCUGCGGCCUAUCAGGUAGUUGGUAGGGUAAUAGCCUACCAAGCCGAUGACGGGUAGCCGGCCUGAGAGGGUGACCGGCCCGAGGGGCACUGAGAUACGGGUCCCACUCCUACGGGAGGCAGCAGGCUAGAAAUUUGGGCAAUGGGGGAAACCCUGACCCAGUGACGCCGCGUGCAGGAAGGAGCCCUUCGGGAUGUAAACUGCUGUCGUGUAGGGAGAAGGGUACUAAGGUGAACAAUCUUAGUACUUGACGGUACUACAGGAGGAAGCCCAGGCUAACCUCGUGCCAGCAGCCGCGGUAAGCUACGUAGA
rnacentral:rRNA from 1 species